ACGGGUGAGUAAUGUCUGGGAAACUGCCUGAUGGAGGGGGAUAACUACUGGAAACGGUAGCUAAUACCGCAUAAUGUCGCAAGACCAAAGAGGGGGACCUUCGGGCCUCUUGCCAUCAGAUGUGCCCAGAUGGGAUUAGCUAGUAGGUGGGGUAAUGGCUCACCUAGGCGACGAUCCCUAGCUGGUCUGAGAGGAUGACCAGCCACACUGGAACUGAGACACGGUCCAGACUCCUACGGGAGGCAGCAGUGGGGAAUAUUGCACAAUGGGCGCAAGCCUGAUGCAGCCAUGCCGCGUGUAUGAAGAAGGCCUUCGGGUUGUAAAGUACUUUCAGCGAGGAGGAAGGCGUCGUACUUAAUACGUGCGGCGAUUGACGUUACUCGCAGAAGAAGCACCGGCUAACUCCGUGCCAGCAGCCGCGGUAAUACGGAGGGUGCAAGCGUUAAUCGGAAUUACUGGGCGUAAAGCGCACGCAGGCGGUUUGUUAAGUCAGAUGUGAAAUCCCCGGGCUCAACCUGGGAACUGCAUUUGAAACUGGCAAGCUUGAGUCUUGUAGAGGGGGGUAGAAUUCCAGGUGUAGCGGUGA
rnacentral:rRNA from 1 species